CCACGCCCGCUCAAGAAACUACAAUGAGUUGACGGGGCCCGCACAAGCGGUGGAGCAUGUGGUUUAAUUCGAUGAUACGCGAGGACCUUACCUGGGCUCAAAUGUAUGUUGACGUAUUCUGAAAGGGAUACUUCUUCGGACAAUAUACAAGGUGCUGCAUGGUUGUCGUCAGCUCGUGCCGUGAGGUGUCGGGUUAAGUCCCAUAACGAGCGCAACCCCUAUCAUUAGUUGCCAUCAGGUCAAGCUGGGGACUCUAAUGAAACUGCCUACGCAAGUAGUGAGGAAGGUGGGGAUGACGUCAAAUCAGCACGGCCCUUACGUCCAGGGCUACACACGUGCUACAAUGGCCGGUACAAAGGGCAGCUACCUGGUGACAGGAUGCUAAUCUCAAAAGCCGGUCUCAGUUCGGAUCGGAGUCUGCAACCCGACUCCGUGAAGCUGGAUUCGCUAGUAAUCGCGCAUCAGCCACGGCGCGGUGAAUACGUUCCCGGGCCUU
rnacentral:rRNA from 1 species